UAGCUGCAUAUGCAUUAGAAGAUGGC
rnacentral:piRNA from 1 species